rnacentral:rRNA from 1 species
UGGGGAAUAUUGGACAAUGGGCGCAAGCCUGAUCCAGCCAUGCCGCGUGAGUGAUGAAGGCCCUAGGGUUGUAAAGCCCUUUCACCGGUGAAGAUAAUGACGGUAACCGGAGAAGAAGCACCGGCUAACUUCGUGCCAGCAGCCGCGGUAAUACGAAGGGGGCUAGCGUUGUUCGGAUUUACUGGGCGUAAAGCGCACGUAGGCGGACUAUUAAGUCAGGGGUGAAAUCCCGGGGCUCAACCCCGGAACUGCCUUUGAUACUGGUAGUCUUGAGUUCGAGGGAGGUGAGUGGAAUUCCGAGUGUAGAGGUGAAAUUCGUAGAUAUUCGGAGGAACACCAGUGGCGAAGGCGGCUCACUGGCUCGAUACUGACGCUGGGGUGCGAAAGCGUGGGGAGCAAACAGG